GGACUACCGGGGUAUCUAAUCCCGUUUGCUCCCCUGGCUUUCGCGCCUCAGCGUCAGAAGAAAUCCAGUGCGCCGCUUUCGCCUCCGGCGUUCCUUCCAAUAUCAACGCAUUUCACCGCUCCACUGGAAGUUCCGCACACCCCUAUUUCCCUCGAGACCAUCAGUAUCAGAGGCACUUCUACAGUUAAGCUGCAGGAUUUCACCCCUGACUUGAUGGACCGCCUACGCGCCCUUUAAGCCCAGUGAUUCCGAACAACGUUAGGACAGUUCGUCUUACCGCGGCUGCUGGCAC
rnacentral:rRNA from 1 species